GGAGAAUUAAAAGCGGUUAACACUUUCUCUGAUGGGAGCUUGUCUAUUCGCAUCAACGUUGCCAGUACUUGGGGUGGGGAGGCGCGCUGUCCGUGUUUGGGGACAAACAGCUCGGCGAAGCCGGGGAGGGGGGCGUGAGGCCGCGGACUGAGAACGAGGGAGGCUGCGUUUACCGCCCACCCCCAGCUGGGGAGCUGUCACUCAGGGACGCGAUGCCCGGGAGCGGGCCCCUCGCUCGCGGCGCUCGCCGGCUCCUCAUCCCGGAGGCGCGUUUAAAGACACGUGGAGGAGCGGGACGGCGAGCUGCCCAGUGACGCGUGAGGGCUGCUCUUUGGAUGGAUGUGGGAGCCUACUGUUUCAUGGACCUGGUUACACCCCUUGUCCCUGCCGCUUACAUCAAGGGUACAACUGCACUGUAUCACAGUUAGUCCACGGGCGAUGUGCAGGUGCAGAGGCAGGUCAGGGAGCUCUAUGCCACCACCAGGCAAAACCAGGCCCACCUUUUUGCCCCGGGUCCCCUGCUCCAGGAGAAGGAGGAGCAGCCUGACAGCUGUGAAAAACCAGCCUGAAGUUCCCUCCGUAGCGCUUCACCUCCGAUGGCCCCAUCAGGGUUACAGCCUGACGCUUCUCCAGAUGGACAGAGCCGCUACACUGGUGGCCAGCGGUGGACGGAACGACACUAACGUGGCUUAAGGCGUUUGGUAAUUAGAGAGCGACAGGCUAGGGGCUCUGGAGUACAGUAGCAUUGCAUCUCCUGCCCUUCGCCCUGCCCCUCAGGGGUUGCAAGUGGCACAGCCUGGCUGCUGGUGAUCUGGCACAUGCAGGGAGGCCUGCUAAUUAGUGCUUCACUUUGAGAAUAGACCCAUCGCUCUGAAAACAUCCUGCACCUCUGUGUGCUUCUCAAGCCGAGCAUGAUGCCGAUGAUGGAGCGCCGAAGCAUCCGAGAAGCGUUGCGAGUAUCCUGGGUCCCGCUGAGCACUCUUUGAGUGGGCAUCAGAAUGUCAGUGGAGGGUUUGGAUGGAUGGCCCCACCACCAUUACCCUGCCUUCACGCCCAGGUCUGGGAUUGAUCAGUGGAAGCUCUUUUCUUCUUGAGUGAUGCCAGAGCUGGACUGCGCAUCUGACAGGGGGGCGGGGGGGGGAGGCUCAUCGGCACCCUCGCGCUCACUAUUCCCGCUGGUGCCUGGCCCGGCUGCGGCCGAGGCAAGUGAAGCAAGCGCGCUAUGCUCAGUGGCAUUUCCCAAAUGUGGCCCAGCUGGAGGUCCGCUUGCCGCCGCCUGAGUGGCAUACUCUCUGCGGGGGUGGGGAGGGUGUGCAAGAGUGGCGCGCAGGGCACGUUGGGUGGGGGGUGCUUUCACAGGGCUAACGGCAGAGACUCGCCAACAAGCCACAGAGCUCUUCACUACCCCCGCAAAUACCCGCACUCCCACUACCCUCACAAAGAAGUGUUGCCAGGCUAACUGUAAAAGCCUCCGCGAUGGCUGGCGCCGAAGCGCACUUCCCUCACAGUGGUAUAGCUCCAUUGUGAAUGCAUAUGAGCGAGAGCUGUUUCAUUUCCAUCACCCAGCUGCGCGAUGCCCUUUCUUCUGCGUAACGUCACUGUCUCUCUAAUAAUAAUUUUGUCUCUGAAGGUAGUAAAUGAGGCUCAUUGAUGAGGGAGGGCAAAAGAAUGAGCGACUUUUCUGGAGAGAGCC
ensembl:lncRNA